rnacentral:rRNA from 1 species
UUCAAACACUAAUUCCCGUACGAUCACCAAAGUUAAGCAACGUCAAGCCUGGCUAGUACAUAGAUGGGUGACCGCUUUGGAAUACGAGGCGCUGUAAU